CCCUUCAUCAUUGCAUUUUAAUUAGAAAUAAUUCAAGUUUGAUUAUUUUUAUUGAUCGAAUCUAAUAUAUGCAGGUCAAGUCAAAUUCAUUUAUUUUUGAAUCCAAAUCGCACGUACCUUGCAAAUUAGAUCAUCUCAGAUUUCGAUUCAGUCAUUUAUCCCAACCCCCCUGCAUUCAGGACAUACAUCUAGAAUCAAAUAUGGACUGAAUCCCAUGCAUCCUCAUCCCAUCGGAAUUAAUUCCAUCGCCCAUGGAUUAAGCCCAUCCUUAUUCACAAGCUCCCAGCCGAUUAUACAACUCAUCCCUUGUCUCUUCUUCGGAACAGAAUCCCAGCAUCUUCAAAACAGAAACCAUCUUCCUAGCCACGUUCUUCCCUUCCGCAUCCAAAGCUUCCACAUCGUUCCAUCCUUAUCAUAUCUCCCAACCAACUCCAAGCUUGAUCCCAUUGUGAUCUUCUCUUCUCCCGUUCGGAUCAAGCAACCAACAUUCCCCUGUUUCACAUCCCGUUUGUAAUCAUGCUCUUCUCGAUUGCAUCCCAUGAUUCUCUCCUUCCUAGAUUUCCUCCAAAUCUAGCAACACCCUCCCAGCCGUUCCAAGCUCCCGAGUUCAUCCUUAUCCACGGAUUCAUCCCAGCGUCUGUGAGUUCCUCCCAGCAUCCUCCUCUUCCAGCUUGAUUCCAGCUCCCCUGUUACGCGUAGCAUCCCGUCUUCAUCACAUUCCGAACUCCCAGAUUUCUUCCCAACAGAUCAAUCCUUCAUCUCUUACUAAAAAUCUCUUCUUCCCAGCGUCAUCGUCAACUUCUCAUCCAAACCANNN
rnacentral:lncRNA from 1 species